CCUACGGGACGCAGCAGUGGGGAAUAUUGCACAAUGGGCGCAAGCCUAAUGCAGCCAUGCCGCGUGUAUGAAGAAGGCCUUCGGGUUGUAAAGUACUUUCAGCGGGGAGGAAGGUGUUGUGGUUAAUAACCGCAUCAAUUGAAGUUACCCGCAGAAGAAGCACCGGCUAACUCCGUGCCAGCAGCCGCGGUAAUACGGAGGGUGCAAGCGUUAAUCGGAAUUACUGGGCGUAAAGCGCACGCAGGCGGUCUGUCAAGUCGGAUGUGAAAUCCCCGGGCUCAACCUGGGAACUGCAUUCGAAACUGGCAGGCUAGAGUCUUGUAGAGGGGGGUAGAAUUCCAGGUGUAGCGGUGAAAUGCAUAGAGAUCUGGAGGAAUACCGGUGGCGAAGGCGGCCCCCUGGACAAAGACUGACGCUCGGGUGCGAAAGCGUGGGGAGCAAACAGGAUUAGAUACCCGGGUAGUC
rnacentral:rRNA from 1 species